rnacentral:tRNA from 1 species
GAUAAAAUGGCUGAGUGAAUUAAGCGAUAAAUUGUAAAUUUAUAAACAAAGUUGUAAACUUUUUUUAUCA